AACGAACGCUGGCGGCAUGCCUAACACAUGCAAGUCGAACGAGACCUUCGGGUCUAGUGGCGCACGGGCGCGUAACGCGUGGGAACCUGCCCUUAGGUUCGGAAUAACUCCCCGAAAGGGGUGCUAAUACCGGAUAAUGUCUUCGGACCAAAGAUUUAUCGCCUUUGGAUGGGCCCGCGUUGGAUUAGCUAGUUGGUAGGGUAAAAGCCUACCAAGGCGACGAUCCAUAGCUGGUCUGAGAGGAUGAUCAGCCACACUGGGACUGAGACACGGCUCAGACUCCUACGGGAGGCAGCAGUGGGGAAUAUUGGACAAUGGGCGAAAGCCUGAUCCAGCAAUGCCGCGUGAGUGAUGAAGGCCUUAGGGUUGUAAAGCUCUUUUACCCGGGAUGAUAAUGACAGUACCGGGAGAAUAAGCUCCGGCUAACUCCGUG
rnacentral:rRNA from 1 species